UACGAAGGGGGCUAGCGUUGCUCGGAAUUACUGGGCGUAAAGGGCGCGUAGGCGGAUAUUUAAGUUAGAGGUGAAAGCCCAGGGCUCAACCCUGGAAUAGCCUUUAAUACUGGAUAUCUUGAGUUCGGGAGAGGUGAGUGGAACUGCGAGUGUAGAGGUGAAAUUCGUAGAUAUUCGCAAGAACACCAGUGGCGAAGGCGGCUCACUGGCCGGUACUGACGCUGAGGUGCGAAAGCGUGGGGAGCAAACAGGGAG
rnacentral:rRNA from 1 species